UCAUUUUGCUUUUGCUUCAGUCCAUGUGUUUUCUACCACACGUGCCACACAUCUUGAAACGUGGUUUGAUUUGCACACUGGAGUUUCACCAUCUCUUUCUCCACAAACCGCCUCCUGCUUCUUCCGAUCCACCUCCACCGCUUCAUCCUUCCCGAUUUAUGAAACUCCUAAGCAGAUCCAUCGGUAACCACCAACCUCAGGCCACGUGAACCACCAACGUUUCCUUCUAACAUGAUGAAACCCCUGAGUAGGUACAAUAGUCGCCACCUGCUUUCGGGUCAUGAUGGUGAUGUUUGCGCACCUGAUUUUAUCUCGGCCACUCUUUGAUUUUGUUUUUAUAUUUGAGGAUGUGAGAAAGGCGUAUGAGUUCUUAUCGAUGAAAGCUUAUGACAUUUUUCUUUAGUUUUCGUCUCUAUUUCAAGAACAAUGUUUGGGAACAUUAAAUAUGAAGGUCUGGGUUGUUCGUUUUAACCCUCAUUCGAGUUUGAGGCUGUGAUGCUCAGCUGAGCUUUAGAGGCUAUGAUGGUUGCCUGAGCCUCCAUUGUGAACACCUGUUAGCUUAAAAAUUGCGCACAUGAGGUGUUUGAUAAAAUGCAUUUAUGAGUUGGUUGUUGAAAUAUGGGUUGUUCAUACCUGUUACCUUAGAAAGUCUCUAUUGUGAACACGUGUUAGCUUAAAAAUUGUGCACAUGAGGUGUUCGAUGAAAUGCUUCAGUGGGUUCAUUGUUAAAAAUAAAGUUUGUUCAUUUUAACCCUCACUCCCUUUUGAAGCUCUGAUUCCUACUUGAACUUUGAAAUGCUUUCAUAGGUUCAUCACCUAUCUUCAUGAUUGUUGGUUGAAUCUAUGAUGUUCUUUCUUAGUUGACUCUGCGAGGAAAUGACGUGUCUGAUAAUGUUGCUUUCCUUCACUGCAUGAGAUAUAGCUGAGGUUCGGCGAUGAUGAAUCUGUAACACUAUGUCUUGGCGUGGCAACUGAGAUGGCUGGAAGCAAGCAACCAGAUACACUGCAGCCAUGAUUCUGAGCCUGAACUCACUCUAAAUUUGUGUGAAAGGGGUAACCGUGAGUUGUCACGGUAGACCAAUCUUGCCGGGUGUUGUCUGGGUUUACUCCUUUUUAGCUGCUUCAUUCUUAUAGGCUUUUAGAUGAUUAUUGGCAGACAUCUAACCAGGUAUGCAUCAAUACUUCAAUUCUUCAUAUCCUUACAAACAUGUUCGAAGAACCCUACAAGUUGUUAGGAACUGUAAUGAUGUUCCUAUGUUGACAUGCCUCAAUUUUAGAGACACACAAGGUAGCUACUCAAUUUAAAAAUUAAAACUUUAUAUUACCAUUCAUUCAAUGAUUCUGGCUUUCUUGAAUUUUUCACAUGGUAACUUUCGAUUGCAUCUUCACUUAGUAGCUAGAUUGAACUACUUUCAAUCACCAUUGAAGAAGUGUCUGUUUGAAGGUUGUUCAUAUAAUCAUAUCACCAUUGCUGUUGAAAACACCCAUGAUGGUGUUUCAUAUGCUGUGAAAAUAGCUCCAUUAACCACAAGAGCUCUACAAGCCGAGGUUCCUAAUCCUCUAAACAUCACACCAUAUACAUCAUUUGUGACACUUUUCUUGAAACGCUUCAUAAUCUCAUUAUACUUACUUUAGAAUUAGUACGAAUUUAUUAGUUCUUAAAGUUGGGUUUUAAGUUUUGCAGAUGACAAAGAUCACGAAACCGAAUCAAUUGCACCUGCGUUUUGUAAUAGAUAGUUACGAGUUAGAUCGCAGGUUAGUUGAAUUUGUUUUUAUGUUAUCUUCAAUUCCACGUGGAGGUGGGUAUCAAGGAGGAGAUCGUUGGCGCAACGCCGGUGAUAUAGGUGACAAAGAAAGAGAUUGGCCUCGCUCAAAUUCGCGUAUUUUGUUUAUUUUUUGGAUCCACUCAUGAGUACAUUAUACAAAACCUUGCUAUGCAUAUAAUGAAAAUCUUGAGAUUACACGGUUGUAUUUAUAAUUUUAUUUAACACUGAGAAUUGACUUACCGGGUUAUGUUCUU